GUUGCUAACAAAUUCUGAUGGGAGUAAACCCAAGAAGAGGGGGCCAUCCAGAUCAUUCUAGGGGAGAUACAUCCAAACUUUCAUUAUACCAGCCUAGUAGACUUAUAAGAGGAACCUCACUCCAAAUUUCACACUCUAACUCACACAAAAACUUUCCACCCAACAGAUCCUCUCUUCUUUCUCGCCACACUUACGCUGGAACCAGCGACCAGCACAUGUGCGUAUUGGGUGGCCAAGAAUCUCGAGAAAAACAAAGGGAAGCUUGGAGAAUUUGAGGAGGAAAGAUACACUAAGGGGACAAGAUAGGAAGCUAAGGAUAAAAUUGUUGAAGGAACUUAAGGAAAUUAAGCUAAGGAAGUAAGGUACAUAAGAACUGAUCCUAUAAAAGCUAUUUGGUUUUUCUUUUUUAAAUUAUGCUAUUUAUGAAUUGUGUGAGUAAAUAAUGAGAUCCUUGUGGAUGAAUGAGUGAUAUGUAAGCUGGAGUAACUAAAUUACAAUUGGGAUGUGGUUGCAUGCAUGUUUAAUCAACAUAGACAUAGUUAAAUGAUGAAGUGAUUUAGAAAUUAUGUUAUGAUCUUUGCAUGUAAAAUGGGUGAUGGUUGCCAUGAUGAAUGAGGAAUGGUAAACUCUAUAUACCUACUGCAUGAAGGUAAUGAGCUCACCUAAUAAGUAAGAGAUUCCUGAUUAAGCUAGGUUAAUAUGCUAUUUUUGGUAUUAGAAAUUACUUUCUUGCAACAAGAACUAUACUCCUGCUUUUUUACACCAUGAUUUCAGAAUGAUUUUUUUCCCUUAAUAACUAAACACUCUCAAUGUAGUAGAUGUAAGUGAGGAAUAUAGUACUCCAUGUUUACUAAUGUUGUAGUAAAAUAAAUGUUAUGACAUCUAGUCGAAAUGAAGCCAAGUAUUAUAGUAAUGAUAUGGGAAGAUACUGCGACAGCAGUGAUGAUCACAUUGUAGUGUGUGUAUGUAAGUGAAUAAUGGGACAUGUCUUGGAUUAAGUCUUGCAAGCAGUACAUAAAUUAUUUUGGGAAGACGUUCCCAUGAGUAUAGAGAGGGAAGAUCACCCACUCUAUUCGUGCCUCUUCCUCGGUUAAUUGUAGGAGUAAAACGUUAGGGAAGAACUAUAUUGAGAAGAACGUUUCCUAAGGUCAUAAUCGAGAGUAUAAAGAGUUCCAAGCCAACUUACACAUUGAGGUAUUAUAAGAUACAUGUAACUAAAUAACGAGUUUUUCUUCCUUUUAUACAAGCAUGAUACUCAAGAACUCCUCCUAUGUAAAUCAAACAUGAGAACUAGAAAAUCGUGUACCAGCUUUGCUGAUUUGGUUGUUAUUGUCAUUCCAAAACUGUCCUCCCGGGCAGUGACGAAAUUGCAAGGCUAGGUGAGGAGGCUGUUGUUUGAAAUAUCUGAAGCGCAUGCCACCGUGUUG